UGAGACCAAGACCAAGACCAACACGUGUGACGGCGGGCAGAGCAUCUCUAUUUUUCUCCUCUUUUAAGCCUCAAAACGCGUAAAUAUAAAAAAAUAACUACACAUUGGAGUCCAUGAAUGCCUGAGCUAAGUUAUCACAUGUCUUGCACGGCGUGAUAAACUUGACGGAUGGAAAUUUGGCCAUAACCGGUAUUAUGACGAAGGUUAUAGGCCGGGUCACACGAGUAUUUACGUCGGCAAUUUUUGACGCGGGUACUUUUUCACGCCGGUGAUUUUGCCUCCGGGCGCGUUUAGGUAUAUAUGCAGAGCGGCAGCAGGUAAAGGCAAUUAAGAGAUUAGCAAGGCAGUUAAAUCUUCUUUGAUGUCUUGCCGCCAGCUGCACUUUUGGUGAUUGGAAUUCUUUGAAGGGGUGUGUGUAGUUGCAUGUGUAUUUGUCUGUGUGUACAUAUGUGUGUGUGUGUUGGGGGGGGGGAGUGUAUCUCUCAUACACGCUAAAAGUAAUAACGUAAAGGUGUAUAAAGUCCAUUGAAAAGGAGAGAGAGAGAGAGAGAGAGAGAGAGAGAGAGAGGCAGAAUAGGAAAAGGAUUAGGGGGAUUAGAAGGGAAAAAGGGGGAGGAGGAAGAGCUGAAGCGUUCUCAGUAUCGAGAAUGCAAGACGCGCAUGUUCGUCUUCCUCCAUAUCGAGAACACAAACCGUGUUUUGGACUUGCCGGUGCUGCCGAUGGCAAAAUUCUCGAGAUCGAUGAUAAAAUUGCCAAAAUAAAUGCUCGUGUGACCAGCAGAAGAUGUUACUCUAUCAAUAGACAGAAGAAACCAUUUAUUUCCUGAAGGUUUUAAGGUUAAUAGAAUACAUAUGACAACAGAAGAGCAGUUGAUCAAGUAGGAGACAAGGAAGAAGAGAAGGAGAAAGAAAGAAACUAAUGUGAGCAGGAUAGGAAGAGUUCACCUUAUCAAUAUUCAGUAUAUGGAAGGAAGAAAAGAAGAACAGUCAAGCACAUCGGAAUAAAAACAAAACAAGCGUAAGGAGGAGGAAGAGAGGGAGAAAGACUAAUGUAAGAAAGGAAAAGUUCACCUUAUCAGUAUUCAGUAUAUGGAAGGAAGAAAAGAAGAACAGUCAAGCACAUAGGAAAAGAAAAUCAAGUGUAAGUAGAUGGAAAGAAGAGCAGUCAAGCACAUAAGAAUGGAAAAUCAAGUGUAAUUAGGAAGAGAGGAAGAAAGACGUGAAACUACCCAUCAGUCAGCCAUGCCACCAUACAGCGCCGCUACAUGUGUGACUGCUGCUGUUUUGUCGCCUCGCUGCAGCAGAUGGAGGACCAUCGGCCACACUUUGCGGCAGAGAACAUUUUACAGCACAAAGGGAGAUCAGAAGAAGGGUAAAACUGAGCCAUCCACUAGCUAUUCAGCCACAAUCCAGCUGCCCCGCACCACUUUCCCUCUUAGAGUGUCAGCUGCCUCCAGGACACAGCUAGAGGCAUCUGUGCAGCAGGCUGCCGGCUUUGAUUCACUCUAUGCAUGGCAACGGGGACAGGACCGAAAAAAGGAGUACGUGCUGCAUGAUGGUCCACCUUAUGCUAAUGGCCGCCCUCACAUCGGUCAUGCACUCAAUAAAAUCCUGAAAGACAUCACACUGAGGCAGAAGUUGCUGCAAGGUUAUAAAGUGCAUUAUGUUCCUGGCUGGGAUUGCCACGGCCUCCCCAUUGAGCUCAAGGCCACACAGCAGACAGGCAAGGAACAGAGCAAAGCAGCAGGUCAGCAAUCAUCAGCAUCUUUGACCAAUCCCCUGGAUAUCAGGAUUAAUGCGAGAAAGUUUGCCGAGGAGACCUUGGAGGUGCAACGUUCGGUGUUCCAACGCUGGGGCCUCAUGGCUGACUGGGGCAACAUAUACCGCACGGUGGACCCUCACUACAUCACCCGUCAACUCCAUCUUUUUACAGACCUCUACGAAAAAGGAUAUAUUUACCAGGACUACAAGCCUGUGUACUUCUCCCCCAGCCUUCAAACAUCCCUUGCUGAGUCAGAACUAGAGUACCAGCCACAGCACGUCAGUCCAUCCGUGUUUGUUGCCUUGCCUGUCACUUCUGCCUUGCCGGCCACUGUGGACAGAUUGCCCAGCCCUGCAGAGUCCCAGCUCUACCUACCCAUCUGGACUACCACACCCUGGACUUUGCCACUUAACCAGGCCAUAUGCUUUGCACCUGAGAAGAGUUACCUCCUGACAUGGGUGAAGUGGGGAGAGCAGAACUUGGCAUUAGUCUGGAGUAAAGAGCUUCUGCAUGAACUGGAGAGAAUAGUUGGAAAGGAUCACCUAACUGUCUUGGGUCACCUUGAAGAGGAGGAGCUGACUUCCAUUAUGUACCGAGCACCCUUGGGCAAGCAGGAGUGUCCUUGUUUGCCAGCCAAGCACGUUACAAUGGCCAAAGGUACUGGCCUUGUCCACACAGCCCCAGCCCAUGGCCAUGAUGACUUCCUGGUGGCCUUACAGUACAAACUCCCUGUGGAGUGCUGGGUGGAUGAGGAAGGGAAGUACAUGGAUGGGGCUGGACCAGGACUCGCUGGAUUACCAGUAUUGGAUGAAGGCAACAACACGGUCCUCCAGCUUCUUAAGAGCACAGAGGGUCCUGGGGGGCCUUCACUGCUGCUGGAGGAGGAGUGCUACACACACUCCUACCCUUAUGACUGGCGAACACAAAAACCUGUCAUCAUCAGAGCCACCAAGCAGUGGUUCUUGAAUACUGAACGUGUCAAGGAGGCGGCCCUGGCUGCCCUGGAGGAGGUUGAAAUACUUCCUCAGCGGCUGGAGGCAGGGAUGGUCCGGCAGCUGCAGAGUCGUCCCUACUGGUGCAUCUCCCGCCAGAGAGUGUGGGGCACACCCAUCCCUGUGUUUUAUGACCCUAAAACCAGCCACCCCAUAGUGGAACGAAGCAUCAUAGAGCAUGUGGCUGGAGUGUUAGAGAGGGAAGGAAGUGAUAGUUGGUGGAAUAAAGGCGAGGAGGAAUUACUUCCCCCAGCAUUUGUAGAGAAAUUGAAAAAAAAUGGCAAGCCUCUGCCCAAGAAGGGGUCCGAUAUCCUGGACAUCUGGUUUGACUCGGGGUCUUCAUGGCAUUGCGUCCUGGGGGCACCAAGAGCUGACUUGUAUCUGGAAGGGGUGGACCAGUUCAAUGGGUGGUUUCUCUCCUCUCUGCUUACCUCUGUAGCUGCCACCGGAAAGGCUCCUUACAGAAUGCUCUAUGUACAUGGGUUUGCCCUAGAUGACCAAGGUCGCAAAAUGAGCAAGUCCCUGGGUAAUGUGGUGGAUCCAGAGAUAGUGACUGAUGGUGGCAGCAACCUGUCCAAGGAUCCUGCAUAUGGGGCUGAUGUGUUGAGGUGGUGGGUUGGCAGCCAUGCAGCUGACCACUCCACUAUGAGUAUUGGGCGGCAGCACUUGGAACAAGGGAAGGAUAGUGUGCAGAAGAUACGGGCUGUGCUGAGGUUUCUCCUCUCCUCACUUGGAGACUACCAGCCUUGCCAGCACAGCCUCCCUGUCUCGGACCUGAGACCCAUUGACCGCUACAUGCUCCAUCUUCUUCAUGGUCACACUCAAAAGGUCUGGAUGCACUACAACAAUUUCCGAUACAAUUGGGUGACCAAAGUGUCACUGGCAUUCAUCAACACCACCAUCUCAGGUUUCUACAUAUCCUCCAUUAGAGACAGGUUGUACUGUGAUGCUCAGCUCAGCAGCAAACGGAUGUCAGUCCUGCUGGUCCUCCACCACCUGCUACACCAGCUGUUGCUGUCUUUGGGCCCUAUUCUUCCCCAUCUAGCAGAGGAAGUAGCACAACACCUUAAUAACAACAAUGAUUGGAGAGUGUUUCAUCAGGUGACUGUUGAGCCACCCUCAUCCUGGCAUCAGCCUGAACUUGCUAGUAGAUUUGAACGAUGCCUCAGUGUGCGUGAAGAAUUCUUUCGCUCCUCUCCUGACGCGGACUGGGCCAAGCUGCAGGUUCACAUCUCGGCUGGAGAGAGGCUAAUGGAGGAUCUUCAGUUGCUACAGACCAGCAAAGCAUCUUACCAGUCUGGCUUGUGUGAGCUUUUACAAGUGUCACAUGUCACACUAGAACCUUGUCAAGAGAAUGAAGAGAAUUUUACACUAAAAGUUUCCAAGGCUAAGGGAGGCAAAUGUCUGAGGUGUCGGCGAUACACAGCCCAAGGAGGAGCAGAGCUUUGCUCCCGCUGUCAGGACGUCCUCUCCUCACAGGGAUGAUGAAUGGGUGCAGCUUCAACAGCAGGUUACCAUGGGAGUCAACAACAAGCAACUGAGAAGAGGUCACAGUAGCUGAGUACACCAAACCUGCAGAUCUCUAGCCACCGAUCUGAUGGAGAGCAGAAGGGUCACUACCACUUCCCGUUGGCCCACACAAUCAGGCCAAUCACCAGGGCAAUCGACAGACCAAUAAGAGUCAGGACAACAAUCUUCUGUUUUGACUUUUCCUGAGGCAGACAUAACAAACAUUAUUCAUGAAUUUCAUCCACAAGAUGGGGGCCCUUUGACCUCAGCACCCAUCAGGGGCAUCAAGAAGGCCCAGAAGUUAAGUUUUUUGGGGUGUGUUUCACAUAAACUGUAUAAAAAGUUAUGCUUUUUAUUAUUAAAUCAUAGAAGGGAAGUCCACUAGGGGUGGUAAACUGUCUAUAAUAAUGUGCUUUCAGUGAUCCUACUUCAAUAUUCCGUACUCGCUCUACCGAUGGUCAUAUAGUCUUCAACUUAACGUCAAAGGACAGUUAAGGAUAUGUACUUUACAAUGAUACUUUAUUCAGUCACGUGAGUUAAGUAGGAGUGAAGGUAUGAAAGGUUGAAGUGAGGUAUGAUUUUGCCUGAAUAUGCCUGCUUGGGAGGACAGGCAUGGCAAAACAAGCCCACGCUUUAACGGUUAACGACAACAAACAUGGGCCUAUUUACAAUGCAAAAGAAAAUUUCCCAGCUAUUUAGUGUCAUUGUGUUCACAAAAAAUGACAAUAAUUGUCUUAUUCUCUUUGAAAAAUCAAGUGAUAAUGAUAGGUAUAUGUUUGAGAGAGAGAGAGAGAGAGAGAGAGAGAGAGAGAGAGAGAGAGAGAAAUUUACAUAGAAAAUCAGACCACAGACCCCAUGGUCCAGACUAGGUGGUCUGUCCUUAAACCUAAGUGAUUCUACAUUAAUCAGAAGGCUCCAAAACAAUGCAUUUCAACUCUAGUUGAUAUUAAGUUGAAGGAAGUGACGGUCAAGCUUGUUUUUGGAGUCAAUCGUGUUACACUGGACCACUGACGUUGGGAGCUUAUUCCAUUCUCACACUACAACGUUAGUGAAGAAAAAUUUGGUGCAGUCUGAAUUUACUUGUCUACAUUUGAGUUUUACACCAUUGUUCCUCGUACGCAAAGUGUCAUCGAUCAUAAACAAUGUUGAUCUGUCUACAUUCAUGAAACCAUUAAGUAUUUUAAAACAUUCGAUCAGUUUUCCUCAGAGGCAACGUUUCUCAAGAGAGAACAUGUUAAGGGUGGAAAGCCUUUCUUCGUAGGAUUUGUUGUGCAAGGAAGGGAUCAUUUUUGUUGCCCGACGCUGAACACCUUCUAAUUUAGCAAUGUCCUUUGCAUGGUGGGGAGACCAAAAUUGUACCACAUAUUCCAAGUGGAGUCUGACUAAACUAUUGUAGAGUGGAAGUAUUACAUCUUUAUUCUUGAAUAAAAAGUUUCUUUUAAUGAAGCCCAACAUACUGUUCGCUUUAUUUGCUGCAUCGAUGCAUUGCUGUGAGAAUUUGAGGUUUGACGCGAUUUUGACCCCCAAGUCCUUAACGCAUUGAACGCUUUUGAGUUUAACGCCGUGCAUUUCGUAAUUGAACUUCUUAUUCCUUGUUUCAACUUGAAGGACCUGGCACUUAUCUACAUUAAAGGGCAUCUCCCAUCUAUCAGAGAGAGAGAGAGAGAGAGAGAGAGAGAGAUUGAUUCACAAUCUAAAUGACCUGUUUGCAUUUGAUGCCUAUUACCACCAGAUUUUUAAAUUUCUCUCAAAUUUAAGGUGGAGGAGAGGGACUUAGCUUGUUUUCAAUGAUAAUUUGCAAUGAGAAUUCAGCACCCACAAAAUAACAUUGAGAGCAAUUGUGCAAAGCUGCAAAUAGUGAACCUAUGAAUUCAGGGGACAAGUGUGCUGUUCAUACUUCCUUGCAGAAUAAUCAUUGCAGAAUAAUCAUUUACAUAAUGAGAGGUUUUAUUUUAUAACACGAUAAAAAUAGCUCCAUUAUGCCAAAGAAAGUACAAAUCUAUUAUAUAGACAUGUCUUAAUAUUAUCUUACAUUUCUAUAGCAAUCAAAGUCAAAUUCUCUUUGCGGAUUGGCACUGAAAAAUAGCUGUCACCCCCUCUGUCCUUGAAGUUAAGAGAUAAUUGAAAUGCUGAUGGUAAUAGGCAUCAAAACACCCUACUGUGAACACGGAAAUUCCAUGGAAACUAGUCAAGGUUGUCAAUAUAAAAACACCAGUAUAACCAAACCCUAAGUAAGUGCCACAAUGUACAGUAUCUUUGUCACACAAACAAAUUAUGUUGGGGUUUCUUUUACACGUAGCUCCAUUAAUCUGUUGGGUGGAGUUUCCCCUUUUCCAAACUUUUCUCAUAUCGUAGGAUUGUGCAGUCACAACAAAAUGAAACAAAACAGAAAUAAUCUAAGGUCAUUUUUAAGAACUUAAAUAGAAAACAAGGAAUGUCAGGCAUGCUUCCUAAGCCUAUAAUGCUUGUACUUUUCGACAUAAUUUUGGUACACAAUUUACGUGUCUAAUUUAUCAUUAUGAUAUUAAACAGGUUUUCAUUUAAUCUUAGUUAUAAGUCUGAACACUAAUUGAAAUUUAGUAUGUAUCAUCUCAAUGAAUACACAAGACAUGAAAACUUACCUUAAUUUUUAGUUGAUAGGACAAUUAUGAGAAUAAGAACUGUCAGUACCACUAAA